rnacentral:rRNA from 1 species
GUGGGGAAUAUUGGACAAUGGGCGCAAGCCUGAUCCAGCCAUGCCGCGUGAGUGAUGAAGGCCUUAGGGUUGUAAAGCUCUUUCGCCGGGGACGAUGAUGACGGUACCCGGAGAAGAAGCCCCGGCUAACUUCGUGCCAGCAGCCGCGGUAAUACGAAGGGGGCUAGCGUUGUUCGGAAUUACUGGGCGUAAAGCGCGCGUAGGCGGUCAGCCAAGUCAGGGGUGAAAGCCCGGGGCUCAACCUCGGAACUGCCCUUGAGACUGGUUGACUUGAGUAUGGAAGAGGGUCGUGGAAUUCCCAGUGUAGAGGUGAAAUUCGUAGAUAUUGGGAAGAACACCAGUGGCGAAGGCGGCGACCUGGUCCAUUACUGACGCUGAGGUGCGACAGCGUGGGGAGCAAACAGGAUUAGAAACCCGUGUAGUCC